rnacentral:rRNA from 1 species
GGAGCAUAGCUGGGUAGCCAAGUACGGCAGGGAUAACCGCUGAAAGCAUCUAAGCGGGAAGCCCCCUCAAAGAUGAGUAUUCCCUAUUAAAUUCCUUAUAGACUAUGAGGUUGAUAGGCUGGAGGUGCAAGUACAGUAAUGUAUUCAGCUGACCAGUACUAAUAAAUUGAUUGGUUUAAUAGU